rnacentral:rRNA from 1 species
GCCUCAAGUUAUGUGUGACAACCCCCUGAAUUUAAGCAUAUUAAUAAGGGGAGGAAAAGAAACCAACCGGGAUUCCCUGAGUAGCUGCGAGCGAAACGGGAGAAGCUCAGCACGUAGGGAUGGCGGCCCGCCCGUCUAUCCGAUUCCGUGUACUGGUACGUCUCACUAUCCGUCUUCCUAGUGGUAUUCAAGUCCAACUUGAACGUGGCUUUGAACCCAUAGAGGGUGAUAGGCCCGUAGAACACCACCCAGCGGUUGAUGGACCGAGCGUACCAUGGAGUCGUGUUGCUUGAUAGUGCAGCACAAAGUGGGAGGUAAACUCCUUCUAAAGCUAAAUACGACCAUGAGACCGAUAGUAAACAAGUACCGUGUGGGAAAGUUGAAAAGCACUCUGAAUAGAGAGUCAAAUAGUACGUGAAACUGCCGAGGGUGUAAAGCCUGUUGAACUCGAUUAUCCGUAGUUCCUGGCAUCGUGGGUUUUGGCUGUCACGCAGAAGGGGGCCUUCUGUAUGCCUUGACCCUAGCCAGGAACGAGUGCGGACAUCGUGAUCCAUUACGCAAACCAAAUGCGAGCGGCGACUCCGGUUGCUGCGAGCAUAUCCAACAUCAGGUCCCAGAACAUGCGGUCGACCCUCUAGUAGUGGCGCUCAGCUUAAGGCCGGCGUUGCGAACGGGGGAUCGAGGCUCCGGUCUCGAGUUCGGCUAGUUCCGGUGUGCCGUUGGAUGCGUGAUGGGCAUUGAAGUGAACUAGAGAAGUGUGAAGCGCAUGUUUGGGCAUGUUCAAGGGCGAAAGCCUGAGCCGAGCACGACUCCGGAUCUACGAUGUACUAACUAAUCGAGGUACCUACGGGACCCGUCUUGAAACACGGACCAAGAAGUCUAUCUUGCGCGCAAGUCAAUGGGAGUAGCAAACCCAAAGGCGAAGAUAACACAACUGCAAAGUCGUUGCGGGAUUACGGGGGCACCACAGUCCGCGAGGACUGGCUAGCUGUGCCGCCCCUCCAUCCCCGGGUGUUUAGCAACGGAUCUGUAGUGCCGCGGACCCCCCGACAGGGGUGGGCAUUUGCAGAGCCAACGCGACAUACCGCGAGCGCGCAGGAUGUGACCCGAAAGAU